UAAAACCUAUAUUUUCGAAGGAAGUCAUGUGUUCGGAGAUUAUAUAUCAAAUUAAGAGUCUGGGACAGUUGUUUUUCUAUUGGUACCGGUUUUCUGAGCAACAAUGUGGGUAGGCAGCAGUGGUCCACUGUCUCAGUUUUGCCACAGUCCAGGGUCAGCACCAAGCUACAUGUAUAGGACUCCUACCUAAUUACUAAAAGAAUCGUUAUGAAGAAUUUUACAAGACUUCUUGAUGACUGGGAAUACAUAUUAAAUCUGAUUGAAUUUACACACGUGGUUGAUAAUAGCUUUGUCAACACAAUAGCCAAAUAUGAACCUAGUAUACCAUUUAAGCAUUAUUUAACAAAUAUAAGUCAGACAGUUUAAAAUUUGAUUACCCUCUAAGUAAAGGAAAAAUUACAGUCUUUAGAUAUAUUCAAUUCAUCUUAGUUGUUUUUAAUGCAUAUGCAUGUACAUGUAUAAAUACAUGUAUAUGACUUUUUAAUCAGGUAUACAUAUAUAGCUGAUGUAGUGACAUGGAUAUAAUCAGAAUUGAUAAUAUGUGUAUAGGUAUUCUGUAUUACUUUAUCUAGGUUAGAUCUUGAAAGCAGGUGUAUGGUACACUGUAUCAUAAAGAUGAUUUUUUUCACUCUUUGUUUACAGUUAUUGUCAUGAAGGACAUAUGAAGAGAUUUUUUUUUUUGAUUCCUUUUACUUAUAUAUAUAGUAGUCUCCUGUGACCAUAAUACAAACACCUAGUAAUAAUAUUGUUUGAAUUAUAUACCAUAGAUGGGUUUCUGUGUGCACUGAUUUACUUGUACUCAUCCAUGUUCAUGUACAAAUACAAUUGCAUUUUGUAUAUAUUUGUGCAUUAGCUGAUAAUUUCAAGCACCAUAAAAUCUGUUGUAUUAAUUCAUUUUGUAAACUGCAGCAUAUUUUGACAGAUGGGGUAUCGUUACAUAAUUAUGUACUAGAAAAAUGUAUACGGUAUAUCCCAUUUCAUUUUCUUGAGCGGAAAGGGGGGGGGGGGUCAGUGCCUAUGCACAUGAGUAUUCUACGUUAAUAAGUUUGCAUUUUACACUUACCCUACAGACUACCACCCCUCUGUAAUUAUUUUUGUUCAUGAUCGAAUAUUAAUUCAUAUACAUGUACCAAUUGAUUCAAUAAAUGUAAAU
rnacentral:sRNA from 1 species